rnacentral:rRNA from 1 species
ACGUAGGGUGCGAGCGUUAAUCGGAAUUACUGGGCGUAAAGCGUGCGCAGGCGGUUCGCUAAGACAGGUGUGAAAUCCCCGGGCUUAACCUGGGAAUGGCGUUUGUGACUGGCGGGCUUGAGUGCGGCAGAGGAGGGUGGAAUUCCACGUGUAGCGGUGAAAUGCGUAGAGAUGUGGAGGAACACCAGUGGCGAAGGCGACUCUUUGGGCCGAAACUGACGCUCAGGCGCGAAAGCGUGGGGAGCAAACAG